UACGAAGGGGGCUAGCGUUGUUCGGAAUUACUGGGCGUAAAGCGUGCGCAGGCGGCUUCUCAAGUCAGGGGUGAAAGCCCAGAGCUCAACUCAAGAAAUGCACUUGAUACUGGGCGACUAGAGGACCGGAGAGGAUAGUGGAAUUCCCAGUGUAGUGGUGAAAUACGUAGAGAUUGGGAAGAACACCAGUGGCGGAAGGCGGCUAGUCUGGACGGUUUCUGGAC
rnacentral:rRNA from 1 species